UACGGAGGAUGCGAGCGUUAUCCGGAUUUAUUGGGUUUAAAGGGUGCGUAGGCGGUCCGUUAAGUCAGCGGUAAAAUUGCGGGGCUCAACCCCGUCGAGCCGUUGAAACUGUCAGACUUGAGUGGGCGAGAAGUAUGCGGAAUGCGUGGUGUAGCGGUGAAAUGCAUAGAUAUCACGCAGAACUCCGAUUGCGAAGGCAGCAUACCGGCGCCCGACUGACGCUGAAGCACGAAAGCGUGGGUAUCGAACAGG
rnacentral:rRNA from 1 species